rnacentral:tRNA from 1 species
UACGUUGUGGCCGAGUGGUUAUGGCGCUGCUUUUAGGUCUUUUUGACUCCCAGCAGUUCUUCGGAGCGCGGGCUCAAAUCCCGUCAACGUAA